GGCUGGUCCUAAGGUAGUGCGUUAUCAGUUGAUCAAAGUCAGUUACAGAUUGAACUCCUUGUUCUACCCUUUGUCCGUUCUCGCUACUGCACUUGACUAGUCCAAA
ensembl:misc_RNA Y_RNA Y RNA